rnacentral:rRNA from 1 species
UACGUAGGGUGCAAGCGUUUGUCCGGAAUUAUUGGGCGUAAAGAGCUCGUAGGCGGUUUGUCGCGUCGGCUGUGAAAACCUGGGGCUCAACCCCGGGCCUGCAGCCGAUACGGGCAAGCUAGAGUUCGGUAGGGGAGACUGGAAUUCCUGGUGUAGCGGUGAAAUGCGCAGAUAUCAGGAGGAACACCGGUGGCGAAGGCGGUUCUCUGGGCCUUACCUGACGCUGAGGAGCGAAAGCGUGGGGAGCAAACAGG